GCCCUCGUAGCUCAGCAGGAUAGAGCAACGGCCUCCUAAGCCGUAGGCCGCCCGUUCGAAUCGGGCCGGGGGCACCA
rnacentral:tRNA from 1 species